rnacentral:rRNA from 1 species
ACUGAGUGGCGGACGGGUGAGUAACGCGUGGGUAACCUGCCCUGUACAGGGGGAUAACAGCUGGAAACGGCUGCUAAUACCGCAUAAGCGCACGAGGAGACAUCUCCUUGUGUGAAAAACUCCGGUGGUAUAAGAUGGACCCGCGUUGGAUUAGCUAGUUGGUGAGGUAACGGCCCACCAAGGCGACGAUUGGUAGCCGGACUGAGAGGUUGAACGGCCACAUUGGGACUGAGACACGGCCCAGACUCCUACGGGAGGCAGCAGUGGGGGAUAUUGCACAAUGGGGGAAACCCUGAUGCAGCGACGCCGCGUGGAGGAAGAAGGUUUUCGGAUUGUAAACUCCUGUCGUUAGGGACGAUAAUGACGGUACCUAACAAGAAAGCACCGGCUAACUACGUGCCAGCAGCCGCGGUAAAACGUAGGGUGCAAGCGUUGUCCGGUAUUACUGGGUGUAAAGGGAGCGCAGGCGGACCGGCAAGUUGGAAGUGAAAACUAUGGGCUCAACCCAUAAAUUGCUUUCAAAACUGCUGGCCUUGAGUAGUGCAGAGGUAGGUGGAAUUCCCGGUGUAGCGGUGGAAUGCGUAGAUAUCGGGAGGAACACCAGUGGCGAAGGCGACCUACUGGGCACCAACUGACGCUGAGGCUCGAAAGCAUGGGUAGCAAACAGGAUUAGAUACCCUGGUAGUCCAUGCCGUAAACGAUGAUUACUAGGUGUUGGAGGAUUGACCCCUUCAGUGCCGCAGUUAACACAAUAAGUAAUCCACCUGGGGAGUACGACCGCAAGGUUGAAACUCAAAGGAAUUGACGGGGGCCCGCACAAGCAGUGGAGUAUGUGGUUUAAUUCGAAGCAACGCGAAGAACCUUACCAGGUCUUGACAUCCGAUGCAUAGUGCAGAGAUGCAUGAAGUCCUUCGGGACAUCGAGACAGGUGGUGCAUGGUUGUCGUCAGCUCGUGUCGUGAGAUGUUGGGUUAAGUCCCGCAACGAGCGCAACCCUUAUUGCCAGUUACUACGAAAGAGGACUCUGGCGAGACUGCCGUUGACAAAACGGAGGAAGGUGGGGAUGACGUCAAAUCAUCAUGCCCUUUAUGACCUGGGCUACACACGUACUACAAUGGCGUUUAACAAAGAGAAGCAAGACCGCGAGGUGGAGCAAAACUCAAAAACAACGUCUCAGUUCAGAUUGCAGGCUGCAACUCGCCUGCAUGAAGUCGGAAUUGCUAGUAAUCGCGGAUCAGCAUGCCGCGGUGAAUACGUUCCCGGGCCUUGUACACACCGCCCGUCA